rnacentral:rRNA from 1 species
GACGAACGCUGGCGGCGUGCCUAAUACAUGCAAGUCGAGCGCAGGAAACCGUCUGAACCCUUCGGGGGGACGACGGCGGAAUGAGCGGCGGACGGGUGAGUAACACGUAAAGAACCUGCCCACGGGUCUGGGAUAACCACGAGAAAUCGGGGCUAAUACCGGACGGGUCAUCGGACCGCAUGGUCCGAGGAUGAAAGGCGCUCCGGCGUCGCCCGUGGAUGGCUUUGCGGUGCAUUAGCUAGUUGGGGGGGUAACGGCCCACCAAGGCGACGAUGCAUAGCGGACCUGGGCGGUGGAGCGGCCACACGGGGACUGAGACACGGCCCAGACUCCUACGGGAGGCAGCAGUAGGGAAUCUUCCACAAUGGACGAAAGUCUGAUGGAGCAACGCCGCGUGAACGAUGAAGGCCCUCGGGUCGUAAAGUUCUGUUGUAAGGGAAGAACAAGUGCCGCAGGCAAUGGCGGCACCUUGACGGUACCUUGCGAGAAAGCCACGGCUAACUACGUGCCAGCCGCCGCGGUAACAC